AGAGUUUGAUCCUGGCUCAGAAUGAACGUUGGCGGCGUGGAUUAGGCAUGCAAGUCGAGCGAGGAAAGUUGUAGCAAUACGGCUUAUUCGAGCGGCGUAAGGGGCAGUAAUACCUGGGAACGUACCCUGAGGUCGGGGAUAGCUGCUGGAAACGGCGAGUAAUACCCGAUGAUCUCGAGAGAGCAAAGGCUUGCCGCCUUCGGAGCGGCCCAGGCGAUAUUAGCUAGUUGGUGGGGUAACGGCCUACCAAGGCGUAGAUGUCUAGCGGGUGUGAGAGCACGACCCGCGCCACUGGCACUGAGACACUGGCCAGACACCUACGGGUGGCUGCAGUCGAGAAUCUUCGGCAAUGAGCGCAAGCUUGACCGAGCGACGCCGCGUGCGGGAUGAAGGCCUUCGGGUUGUAAACCGCUUUGGUCCGAGAGAAAGGGCAACUUGAUCGAUCGGAGAAACAAGGACGGGCUAAGUUCGUGCCAGCAGCCGCGGUAAGACGAACCGUCCAAACGUUAUUCGGAAUCACUGGGCUUAAAGGGCGCGUAGGCGGCCGAGCGGGUCGUGGGUGAAAUCCCCCAGCUUAACUGGGGAACUGCCCUUGAUACCACUGCGGCUCGAGGAAGGAAGGGGCAAUUGGAACUGUCGGUGGAGCGGUGAAAUGCGUUGAUAUCGACAGGAACGCCGGUGGCGAAAGCGAAUUGCUGGUCCUUUUCUGACGCUGAGGCGCGAAAGCCAGGGGAGCAAACGGGAUUAGAUACCCCGGUAGUCCUGGCCUUAAACGAUGAGAACUAGGUAGUGGGUCCGAC
rnacentral:rRNA from 1 species